rnacentral:lncRNA from 1 species
AGAUUUUAGGUCAGAGUGAGACUACUUCGAAACAGGAUGGGGUUUCUGCUUCGAAUUCGAAGAAUUUGAAUUUUGUUGCUGCUGAGCUUAUCUAGUUUGAAGUUAAUUGCUGAGACAUUUGAUUGGAGUGAUGAUGCCUAGGCUUGUGAACUUUCCUUGCUUGCAAAAUGUGUAGAUUUGUUGUUAGUGCAUUAUUUGUGGAUUUCAGAUUCAUUUUUAG